GGCUGAUUGGAAGCCAGACCCUCAGGCAGCAGCUGCGAUGAUAAGAGUCCGUGCCAGCAGGAGAAGACAGCAAGGAUUGGCUGGUUAGGAGCAGAGAUGCUGGAAUCCGGGAGUCCUGGAAUGGAAUCUUGCCCUGUGACACUGACAAGCCAUGUGACCUCAGGAUGCUUGCUCCACAGGAAGGCCUUGUCUCAUCCGUUCAUAUCCCCGGCACUGGAAUAGCGCCCGGCACGUCGUUGGUACUCAGCAACUAUUUAUGAGAUGAAUGGCCUCAUAGAGCAGUCUCACACCUGUCCAGCACUGUCCUUCACCACCUGUCUGUCUGGCUCCUUGCAACGACUCUAGGAGGUGGACAAACCAAGGAUUAGUUCAUGGGUAAGACAAAUGAAGCCCAGAGAGGUGAAGCGAUUGGCCUAAGCUCGUGGAACUACUUAAUGGGGAAGCUGGGAUUCAGGCUCCGGUCUGCGACUCUGCAUGUCUCAUGCAGACCUGAGCAGCCCUCAAGGAUUCACUGCUUAUCCCCUUAUUGCUGAGCAUGUCCCAUAGGUCUUAGUCUUCUUUCCCUUGGGAUGCACUGGACGGGUACCCUUGUCUCCUCCUGUCAAGGGGGUCUUCUCAUGAGAACCCGGCAGAGGGCGCUAGAGAGACAGCAUCCUGAUGGGUGACCUUGCUCUGUCCCAUCCUCCUGCACUAACUGCAGGGGAGGUAGGGUCGGGGCGCAGUCUGUGGGUCUGGG
rnacentral:lncRNA from 1 species